CCUUCGGGGGGCAGCAGUGAGGAAUAUUGGUCAAUGGGCGCGAGCCUGAACCAGCCAAGUAGCGUGAAGGAUGACUGCCCUACGGGUUGUAAACUUCUUUUAUAAAGGAAUAAAGUGAGGCACGUGUGCCUUUUUGUAUGUACUUUAUGAAUAAGGAUCGGCUAACUCCGUGCCAGCAGCCGCGGUAAUACGGAGGAUACGAGAGUUAUACGGAUUUAUUGGGUUUAAAGGGAGCGUAGAUGGGUUGUUAAGUCAGUUGUGAAAGUUUGCGGCUCAACCGUAAAAUUGCAAUUGAUACUGGCAGCCUUGAGUACAGUGGAGGUAGGCGGAAUUCGUGGUGUAGCGGUGAAAUGCUUAGAUAUCACGAAGAACUCCGAUGGCGAAGGCAGCCUACUAAACGGCCACUGACAUUGAUGCGCGAAAGUGUGGGUAUCAAACAGGAUUAGAUAUCCGAGUAGUC
rnacentral:rRNA from 1 species